CCCUUAGAUGUUCUGGGCCGCACGCGCGCUACACUGACGAAUGCAACGAGCUUAUAACCUUGGCCGAAAGGUCUGGGUAAUCUCCAAAUUUCGUCGUGAUGGGGAUAGAUUAUUGCAAUUAUUAAUCUUCAACGAGGAAUGCCUAGUAAGCGCAAGUCAUCAGCUUGCGUUGAUUACGUCCCUGCCCUUUGUACACACCGCCCGUCGCUCCUACCGAUUGAAUGGUCCGGUGAAGCGCUCGGACCGCGGCCUCUUGACGGUUCGCUGCCGAUUGGCUGUGGGAAGUUCGUUAAACCUUAUCAUUUAGAGGAAGGAGAAGUCGUAACA
rnacentral:rRNA from 1 species